CUCCUUUGACGUUAGCGGCGGACGGGUGAGUAACACGUGGGUAACCUACCUAUAAGACUGGGAUAACUUCGGGAAACCGGAGCUAAUACCGGAUAAUAUUUCGAACCGCAUGGUUCGAUAGUGAAAGGUGGUUUUGCUAUCACUUAUAGAUGGACCCGCGCCGUAUUAGCUAGUUGGUAAGGUAACGGCUUACCAAGGCGACGAUACGUAGCCGACCUGAGAGGGUGAUCGGCCACACUGGAACUGAGACACGGUCCAGACUCCUACGGGAGGCAGCAGU
rnacentral:rRNA from 1 species